CGGGGUAUAGCUCAGUUGGGAGAGCGCUUGAAUGGCAUUCAAGAGGUCAGCGGUUCGAUCCCGCUUAUCUCCA
rnacentral:tRNA from 1 species